rnacentral:rRNA from 1 species
CGGGUGCACUGAUCCAGCCGGGCCUUUCCCUCUGUGGAACCCCAUGGCCUUCACUGGCUGUGGUGGGGAAACAGGACUUUUACUUUGAAAAAAUUAGAGUGCUCCAGGCAGGCCUAUGCUCGAAUACAUUAGCAUGGAAUAAUAGAAUAGGACGUGUGGUUCUAUUUUGUUGGUUUCUAGGACCGCCGUAAUGAUUAAUAGGGACAGUCGGGGGCACCAGUAUUCAAUUGUCAGAGGUGAAAUUCUUGGAUCUAUUGAAGACUAACUACUGCGAAAGCAUUUGCCAAGGAUGUUUUCAUUGAUAAGGAACGAAAGUUAGGGGAUCGAAGACGAUCAGAUACCGUCGUAGUCUUAACUAUAAACUAUGCCGACUAGGGAUCGGACGAUGUUAUUCUUUGACGCGUUCGGCACCUUUCGAGAAAUCAAAGUGCUUGGGCUCCAGGGGGAGUAUGGUCGCAAGGCUGAAACUUAAAGAAAUUGACGGAAGGGCACCACCAGGGGUGGAACCUGCGGCUUAAUUUGACUCAACACGGGGAAACUCACCAGGUCCAGACACAGUGAGGAUUGACAGAUUGAGAGCUCUUUCUUGAUUCUGUGGGUGGUGGUGCAUGGCCGUUCUUAGUUGGUGGAGUGAUUUGUCUGCUUAAUUGCGAUAACGAACGAGACCUUAACCUGCUAAAUAGCCCGUACUGCUUUGGCAGUUCGCCGGCUUCUUAGAGGGACUAUCGG